CGGGGACCAAUAGAUUAAGCUGUUCCUUCAUCUUGCUCCACCCGGUCUGGUUGGCUUUUACACGAUGUUCUUCUGGAAAUGCCCUCUUGCGUGUGUCAGCCACAGCACGCCAGCCUUACCUUCACAGUUAGAGCUUUCCCACUGGUGUUAAAGCUACAGGGUAAGGAAACCUGCAGACUGCUGCUCCGAGUUACAAAGAAAACUUCAUCAAGGAAAACUCUGUCUGCUUGGAGCAGAGCUUUGCACAGAAACCACCGAUGAGAUGAACCGUGGCACUAAGCUCAGAGCCCAGAAAAACAUACAUGCAGCCAAGCGACCACUCUGAGUGCUGAUGUCAUCCUGACCACUCACCACCCUUCUCAGCAUCGACGGCAGGAAUCUCAACUCCCCUAAUAGUGAGCAGCCACACCCAUGGGAAAGGGCAUGGGCUGACCUAGUCAGCAGCAACCAGAGCUGCACAAAACCAAGGGGAAAGCCGCCUGCUUCCAAGGGACAGUCACUGCUGUCUGAUCUUUCCUUUAAACGCAUAAACCGUGUAGGUUUUGAGUUCUCUUCUUGAAUACACAGAUGUCUUGCCAAGAGAACACAACACCACCUCAGAAAUAUUUUAUCGUCUUUCCUCACUGGAUGACAGCCUAUUGUUGGCCAUAAGAUGGUCACAAACAACAUGUUGUCAUCCACUACUGGUGUCCCUACAUGGAUCCUAACAGUCAAUGUGACUGAAUUAAGUAGAGCAUUUGGGAAGUGAACAAGCUUAGAACAAGAGUUCAUUACCUUAUAAAAGAAGCUGCAGCCAAUCCCCUUGUCCCUUCUGUCAAGGGGCAUAGCAACAAGAUGCCAUCCUCAAAUCAGACAGGAGCACAUCCCUACCAAAUACCGCAUCUACUUUGGUCCUGAACUUCUCAGCUUCUGAAUUACUAACAUUAAACUUCAGUUGUUUGUAAAUUA